GCCAAAUCGGACGACAUUCUCCGCAUUCUCCUCAGAUUAUAAUCGUCAGUUGAAGUUAAUUUUGCUUUUUCUUGGCUUGGUUUGGAAUUGAAUCGAGUUGUGCUGGUAGGAUAACGUCUGUGAUAUCGCUAAGCACAGGUCUUCCUCACACUGCUGGGAUAUAUAGGAGGUUGUUAGGACGGAGAUUACCGGCGCUGCUCGCAAGUCCAUCGUGUGCGGUUUAGGAAUGAUUUGUAGAAACAGCAGGCCUGAACAUCAGUAGGCAACACACAGAAGGCAUGAACAUCCUCAUAUGUGAAUAAACCAUUAUAUUCACAACA